rnacentral:lncRNA from 1 species
GGUCGUUUCCCUUAGCUCCUGGAUGACUCAGCUUGGCAGCCACCCAGACUUCUAUCAGGACCCAGAGGUGCUGCCAGCUCUGGAGCCAUGUCAGGCCAGCUUUCUCCCCAUGUCACCAGGGAAUGGAGAUUUUUCUGGUCUGCUGGGGCUUUUCCUAAUUCUGCACGGUCGGCUUGAGACUGUCCACCUGUUGCUCCAUCUAGGCUGCGUUGCCCUUAUGAGCCGUCUUCACAAGGAGACGCUGGUCUGAAAAGAAGGCAACGCAAGGAAGAGAACAGAGCCAAGGCACCUGCAGCGAGCCAGAGCCAGAGCCCUGACAUCACAAAUGCUUUAAUUGGUUCCAUUUAUUGUUUAAUCCACUUGAAAUUGAAUUUCUGUCAUCCCCGACUGGAAGUGUACUGACCUGCAUACUACCUGUGUUUCCUCACAGCAGGCUGAAAAGCUGUGCCAAUAUUGAGCUCAUCCAGAAUUAGACGAAGUUUGUAUUCUUUUUAUUACUUCCUUUAACCCUGAAUCAGGGUCCAGAAGCAUUUUGUUGACCAUUAACUCUUCUCUGUGAAUAAAGCAGCAUGAGGAACAACCUCUUUUAUUCACAGAGCAAAGCUCUUCGCUGCUCAGCCACAGCGGCUUCAACUCUGGCACGGGUCCUGAAGUGCCAUUUCUAGCACAUGACUCACAAAGUAAAUAAUCUGUAAAUGAAAAGCCUCUUAUCAUACUUUGGCACGAAAAACAAAGCGACAAGCCAGGCAGCAUUUUUCCCUCAUAUUUGAACCCCACAUGCACCAAGGGCUGUUUUAUGCCUUGCACAUGAGGAGUUUGGUUUGCUCAAAAGCAAAGUAUUGGCUAACAUGUGUGUGCACUAGUAAUUGCAUUUCUGCUUUGUGUGCUCUGUUAUCUGAUAGAGGAGCUUUGUCAAUAUCCUUUGGAUCUCUCUCCAAGCACAGUCUUCAUUAUGAUCUGUGAGCUGAUUUACGGUCUUCUUGGCAAUUUUACGACUGAUAUCUAGGUGCAUUUGCUAAGAGGACAGCAAUUUAGAAUGAUGUUUCUGUAGCUUUAGUCUCCUCCGCACCUUUAAUAAGAAGAAUAAUCAAUUUUACAUUAGAAAGUUAUUUUGUGCUUAUUCUGGAAAAAUGGAAUUGGUUGCUUUUUCUAAAGAUAAUGAGAAACACUUUUUAUGGCUCCAGACUACUAUAUAUCAGCAUUUUCAUUUUAACAGUAAUAUAUCGAGGACUAGGGGCAAAUGGAUUGCUUGUCCAAUAAAUGAAAUGUUCAAGUAUUCCUCACUGAACUUAGACUCACAAUUUUCAUUUAUGGUUGCAUGUGUAAAAUCACCACUCAAGAACUUGUUUGUCCUUGAAUAUAUAGUUUUGUAUUUCCAUAGUUAUAUUGCAGAACCAUUUACUCAUUAUGUUUACAGUGCCCUUCUGAGGAUUUAUGCUGCCAUUUUCAUCAUUACUUUGCAUUUUAUAGAACCUCUUUUUAGUCAUUGAUCCAUUUUGGUGAAUUGGAGAUACAGUGUGACAUAUCUACUACAAUAACCAUGAAAAUUAAAAAAUAACAGACAUAAACUAUAACUUGCAAGCGAG